rnacentral:lncRNA from 1 species
CUUGAAACUGCAAGGAGAAGAGGUCAGACCUGGCCUGGGUUUCCCCAGUCAAAGCACAUUCCGUUUCCCAGACUCCCUUUAGGGAGGAAAGAAAAAAGGAGAAGCCUCAAACUGGAAAACUGCUUAGUUGCCAGUUUUUACCCAACUCUCCAACAUCCGCAAUGUUCUCUCCUUUCCUACAACCCAGCAGCCAAAGCUGCCGAGGACAUGAAAUCUCAGCAAAGCUGGAAAGUUCGAGCCUUUGAGAAAACAACUCAGUCAUCAGAUACCAGCUGUAAAAAACCUGAGAUUGCAAAGUAUCCUUCAGAAAGAAGAGGCCUGAUGGGAGAAUUAUCUCAAUUAAGGUGGACAUUUUGCCUCACACUCAUGGACAAAGGAUCAUGCACCUGUUAAGAACUGUUAUUAAUAUGGGUUUCCCUCCAUUCUCUGUCAUUCCAAAUCAAAACUCCUUGUUAAAUUGCAGCCAUGAUGACGAUAAAUUUGGAAAUAAAUAUGAGUAAAGCCAAGUGUCA